rnacentral:rRNA from 1 species
UACAGAGGGCGCGAGCGUUGUCCGGAAUCACUGGGCGUAAAGGGCGCGUAGGUGGCCACUAUAAGGCCGCGGUGAAAGUUCGGGGCUCAACCCUGAAUCUGCCGCGGCGACUGUAGGGCUAGGGCACCGUAGAGGCAGAUGGAAUUCCGGGUGUAGCGGUGGAAUGCGUAGAGAUGUGGAGGAACACCGAUGGCGAAGGCAGCCCCCUGGGUUAACACUGACGCUCAGGCACGAAAGCGUGGGGAGCAAACAGG